rnacentral:rRNA from 1 species
AUUGAACGCUGGCGGCAGGCCUAACACAUGCAAGUCGAGCGGAUGAAGGGAGCUUGCUCCUGGAUUCAGCGGCGGACGGGUGAGUAAUGCCUAGGAAUCUGCCUGGUAGUGGGGGAUAACGUCCGGAAACGGGCGCUAAUACCGCAUACGUCCUGAGGGAGAAAGUGGGGGAUCUUCGGACCUCACGCUAUCAGAUGAGCCUAGGUCGGAUUAGCUAGUUGGUGGGGUAAAGGCCUACCAAGGCGACGAUCCGUAAUUGGUCUGAGAGGAUGAUCAGUCACACUGGAACUGAGACACGGUCCAGACUCCUACGGGAGGCAGCAGUGGGGAAUAUUGGACAAAGGGCGAAAGCCUGAUCCAGCCAUGCCGCGUGUGUGAAGAAGGUCUUCGGAUUGUAAAGCACUUUAAGUUGGGAGGAAAGGCAGUAAGUUAAUACCUUGCUGUUUUGACGUUACCAACAGAAUAAGCACCGGCUAACUUCGUG